GAGAGAGAGAGAGAGAGAGAGAGAGAGAGAGAGAGAGAGAGAGAUAAAAGGGAAAAAGCAAAUUUUUAGAUAAUCCUACAUUAUUUUGGGUAAGAUCUGUAAAUAGUAUCUAUAAAUUUUAAAAGAAAAAAAAAUCCUUCCUGUCUGGCUGCCUUCCACUUCUUUUCUCUCUUUUCCUUUUUUUCUCUUCUUUCUUCUCCUUGGAGUU
rnacentral:miRNA from 1 species